GGUGGCUCAGUGGUAGAGUGCUUGCCUCUUAAGCAUGAGGCUCUGGGUUUGAUUCCUCAGCACCA
rfam:Dipodomys ordii contig_71594, whole genome shotgun sequence.